UUAAGUUAUUUUUUUUAAGGUAAUAACUGUUAAUACAAUUAUCAAUUUUAAGAUUAAUAGUAAGAUGCCAUAUUUUAAUUUUUUAAUAGUUUAUUUAAAGGAUAGGAUUUUUUUUUGUUAAGAAAAAGUGAGUUUUAUUAUUUUAUCUAUUUUGUUAUUAAACAUUUUAAGUUUUUAAUGUGGUAAAAUUCCAAUUGUGUAUUUAUACUUGUUUAAAAAAGCAGACUCUCAGACCUUUAACAUCAUGGGUGGUUUCUGGUUGCAAAUUGACUAUAGUUGGUACUUAGUUGAUACUAAAUCAUCCUCUAGACAGGAAUUCUGGAUAGAGAAAUAUCUUAGUUCAAUACUUUAACUAAUUACUCCCUGAACAUUUUGUUUUUAUCAAUUUUGCUAAAGGCUUUUUCAGUGCCACAAGGAUUUAUACGGUAUUAUACAGUAUUAUAC